CAGAGCUGGCUCCAUUUUCAAGCCGGGACAGGAAGGGAACUCUGCUGAGCUCCGCAGCCAGAGCUGAUCGAGAGAACAUUGUGGGCACGGCUGCUGAUCUUGAACUUUCUGCUCUGUUCUGCUGCUCCGCGGUUCCGGGGGACCUUCAGCUCCUGCUCUCUAGCUCCUGUGCUCCUGUUGCUCCUGCACUUCAGCUUCUGCCAGCUCCUAUGAUCUCUCAACCCUGCUGAACCUGCUCAGCACGGAAUCAACAACAUCCAAUCCUCGGAGGUCCGGACAAUGCCCUAAACUCCAAUAAUACUUUGAAACUCUGCCGAACUGCUUGGAACAGUGAGUAACCAACAGACUCUUUAUUUAGAGACUGACUGACUUCUCAAGACUCAAAGAACUCUCUUAAAAUCAAAGACUCUCUUUAUUUAGCUGCUUCUAUGACUGUGGACCAAGGAAUCUACAGGGGAUAGUCAUAAAUAGGUUCGGGGAAGGGGAUUUCUCAUACUUUAGUAAUAAAUCAUACAACUUCUUUUA